rnacentral:tRNA from 1 species
ACCCGUCUGGCUCAGUUGGUAGAGUGUGCGACUCUGGACCUCGGGGUUGUGAGUUCGAUUCCCACGUUGGAUG